CCCUUAGAUGUUCUGGGCCGCACGCGCGCUACACUGAUGCAUUCAACGAGUCUAAAACCUGCUCUGAUAGGGGUGGGUAAUCUUUUGAAUGUGCAUCGUGAUUGGGAUAGAUGAUUGCAAUUUUUCAUCUUCAACGAGGAAUGCCUAGUAAACGCAAGUCAUCAGCUUGCAUUGAUUACGUCCCUACCCUUUGUACACACCGCCCGUCGCUCCUACCGAUUGAAUGAUCCGAUGAAUAUCAUGGAUUGAGGAUUAUAGCAGGUUCGCCUGUCUUGAUCUUCGAGAAGUGAAGUAAAUCUUAUCAUUUAGAGGAAGGAGAAGUCGUAACA
rnacentral:rRNA from 1 species